GCAAGUCGAGCGGAUGAGAAGAGCUUGCUCUUCGAUUCAGCGGCGGACGGGUGAGUAAUGCCUAGGAAUCUGCCUGGUAGUGGGGGACAACGUUUCGAAAGGAACGCUAAUACCGCAUACGUCCUACGGGAGAAAGCAGGGGACCUUCGGGCCUUGCGCUAUCAGAUGAGCCUAGGUCGGAUUAGCUAGUUGGUGAGGUAAUGGCUCACCAAGGCGACGAUCCGUAACUGGACUGAGAGGAUGAUCAGUCACACUGGAACUGAGACACGGUCCAGACUCCUACGGGAGGCAGCAGUGGGGAAUAUUGGACAAUGGGCGAAAGCCUGAUCCAGCCAUGCCGCGUGUGUGAAGAAGGACUUCGGAUUGUAAAGCACUUUAAGUUGGGAGGAAGGGCAGUAAGUUAAUACCUUGCUGUUUUGACGUUACCGACAGAAUAAGCACCGGCUAACUCUGUGCCAGCAGCCGCGGUAAUACAGAGGGUGCAAGCGUUAAUCGGAAUUACUGGGCGUAAAGCGCGCGUAGGUGGUUCGUUAAGUUGGAUGUGAAAGCCCCGGGCUCAACCUGGGAACUGCAUCCAAAACUGGCGUAGCUAGAGUAUGGUAGAGGGUGGUGGAAUUUCCUGUGUAGCGGUGAAAUGCGUAGAUAUAGGAAG
rnacentral:rRNA from 1 species